ACUGGCAGAGCCUCUGGUGCUGCCAGCUCCCACACCACAGGGUUUGGUGUCUCCCCCCAUCUCUGACGGUCACUGUCUUGCAGCGCCGUGGAAGGGGAGAUUUUCCACUUGGGGCUGCGCCUGGAGGAGCUGAAGGAGCGGCUGGAGCCGGGGGCCCGGCGGCAGCUCCCCUCACAGCGCCUGGCGCAGCCUCACACCCCUCCAGCCCCUUCCUCACCCCCAGACACCCAUUCCCCGCACCCCGAGGUGAGCUGGGCAUGGCUGGAUGGGGCUGGGGGGUGCAAAGAUGCUGGGGCGGAGGCACCCUGCUGCACCUGGGGGGGUGGUUGUGCUUCUCCAACCCCCUUUUGUUGUGCCCUGCAGAUCCCUGUGCUGGUGGAGGGUCCCCAGGAGACAGCGGAGGAUGGCAAGGCAGUGAUGGGGGGGUUGCCCCGGCCCCUCUGGCACAAGCAGCUCCAAGUGGAGGAAGAUUUCGGUGAUCUGCUGGAGCAGUACAAGCACUUCAAGUCCUUGCCGGAGUCGCUGAGCCUGGAGCAGCUGAGCCUGGCAGAGAGCGAGACCCAGGAGGAGGCGGAUGGACCUGCAGCAGGGUUCGGUGGCCCCAGCAAGGUCUCCUGCAGGACACGGUCACUGGAGGAGGGGACAGACCCCGAGACCUCCCCCUUGCACCCCCCGCAGUGGACAGCCACACCACUGCCCCCCAGGGAGCCCCCGUGGCCAGAGGGGACACAGGUCCACCCGUCCCCUGCCACUGCUGAGGAGCCACCGGCCACAGCCAAGCCCCCCCCAGGGCUCCACGAGCCACCGCGGGGGCCCCAGUCCUGCUGCAGCAGCGGGAGAGGCAGUGCUGCUGCCCAGCCCCAGCCCUGCAAGGAGCAGCGCAUUGUGUCACCAGAGACGGACAGCGGCUUCGUGGGCUCAGAGGCCAGCAGGGUGUCACCCCCUGUGCACACCCCCGAGCACCGGCCGCCCGGCACUGGGACCCCUCGCUCACUGGGACUCUCCAUCCCCGUCCCCACUACCCUCCGUCCUCUGCGGAAAAGAGAGGCAACCACACUGCCCUCUGAGACAGCGCUGAUGGGCAUCUACCCUGCGGGCAGGCAGGGUGGCGCAGGGGGACCCUGCCUGCCCCCCAGCACCCCCUUGCAGAGCAGCUCCCCCCACCGAUGGGCUGAGAGUGCAGGCAGCGAGGCGGGACCCGACGGUGAUGGCAGUGAGUAG
rnacentral:lncRNA from 1 species